rnacentral:rRNA from 1 species
CCUACGUGCGGCAGCAGUGAGGAAUAUUGGUCAAUGGGCGCGAGCCUGAACCAGCCAAGUAGCGUGAAGGAUGACUGCCCUACGGGUUGUAAACUUCUUUUAUAAAGGAAUAAAGUGAGGCACGUGUGCCUUUUUGUAUGUACUUUAUGAAUAAAGAUUGGCUAACCUCGUGCCAGCAGCCGCGGUAAUUCGGGGGAUUCGAACGUUAUCCGGAGUUUUUGGGUUUAAAGGGAGCGUAGAUGGGUUUUUAAGUUAGUUGUGAACGUGUGGGGCUCAACCGUAAAAUUGCAAUUGAUACGGGCAGUCUGAGGUACAGUGGAGGAAGGCGGAAGUCGUGGUGAAGCGUUGAAAUGCUUAGAUAUCACGAAGAACUCCGAUUGCGAGGGCAGCUUACUAAACUGCCACUGACAUUGAUGCUCGAAAGUUUGGGUAUCAAACAGGAUUAGAUACCCUGGUAGU